rnacentral:lncRNA from 1 species
GUUGCUGUUAUUGUUGUUGUUUUCUCGUUGUUGUUGUUGUUGUCGUUGUCAUCGUUGUCUUUGUUAUCAUUAUUGUUGUUGUUCUUCUUCUUGGUGUUUUUGUUGUUGUUGUUGUUGUUGUUGUUGUUGUUGUUGUUGUUGUAGUUGUUGUUAUUGUUGUUGUUGUUGUUGUGGUGGUGGUGGUGGUGGUUCUUGUUGUUGUUUUUGUGGUUAUUGUUGUUGUGGUGGUUGUUGUUGUCAUUGUUGUUGUUGUUGUCAUCGUCAUCAUUGUCGUCGUCGUUAUCG